rnacentral:lncRNA from 1 species
UUCCCACUCUCCCCCGGGCCGCCUCAUGUCCGCGGCCCUAGCUUCACCCCGACACCCCGGCGUGCGCCUGCUCCCGCCGGCCUGCAGGCUCGGGGUUCCGCCAGCUCCGCAGCCGCGGCCCCGCUCGCGUUCACGCUGUCGCCUGGGCCGGCGCGGCCGCGGGCAGCCGCUCCCCCUCCCGCAGCCACCCCGCCUUUUCCGCCCUCCGGUCCCUCUCCCUCGGCCCGCCGCCGCUGCUCCAGAUGAGGUGAUGGCAACGGCCAACUUCGGCAAGAUUCAGAUCGGGAUUUACGUGGAGAUCAAGCGGAGCGAUGGUCGAAUACAUCAAGCAAUGGUAACAUCUUUAAAUGAAGAUAAUGAAAGUGUAACUGUUGAGUGGAUAGAAAAUGGAGAUACAAAAGGCAAAGAGGUAUAAUCACAAUGUUAAUUUUUGUCUAGUCCUGCAAUCACGAUUCUGAACAAAACAAAAAUAUGUAAUUCUU